CCCGGCGAAUUUAAGCAUAUUACUAACCGGAGGAAAAGAAACCAACAGGGACGUCCUCAGUAGCGGCGAGCGAAGCGGACGAUGCCCAAACCGAACCGCGGUUCCCGAGGGGGCCGCGGAGUGUGGAGAGGAUGAGCUCGCGAGGGGGCGGGACGGGUUCCAAUCCGUCUGGAAGGGCGGAGGCACGGAGGGCGAUUCCCCGUACGUGCUCGGUCCGUCCCCGACGAGCGAACGCAUCGGAGAGUCGGGCCGCUUGAGAGUGCAGCCCGAAUGGGGUGAUAGGUCUCAUCCAAGGCUAAGUACGUGGGAGACGCCGGAUAGCGAACAAGUACGGCGACGGAAAGGUGAAAAGAACCUCGAAAGGGGGGUCAAAAGCGCUCGAAAUCGUAGAGGGGGAAGCGGACCUGACCGACGAGACCUCGUCGUCGCUCGCGCUCGACCCACGCUUCGUCGCGGAGUUCC
rnacentral:rRNA from 1 species